UACGUAGGGUGCAAGCGUUAAUCGGAAUUACUGGGCGUAAAGCGUGCGCAGGCGGCUAUGCAAGACAGAUGUGAAAUCCCCGGGCUCAACCUGGGAACUGCAUUUGUGACUGCAUGGCUAGAGUACGGUAGAGGGGGAUGGAAUUCCGCGUGUAGCAGUGAAUGCGUAGAUAUGCGGAGGAACACCGAUGGCGAAGGCAAUCCCCUGGACCUGUACUGACGCUCAUGCACGAAAGCGUGGGGAGCAAACAGG
rnacentral:rRNA from 1 species